rnacentral:tRNA from 1 species
GCGGGAGUGUCGGAACUGGUAGACGAGACGGACUUAAAAUCCGUUGCCUUCGGGCGUGUGGGUUCAAGUCCCACCUCCCGCACCA